rnacentral:lncRNA from 1 species
AAAAAACUCCUGAUUCUUGAGUGAUACACAGUCCAAUAGAGGAUUAGACAUAAGAAGAAAUGGGGCACAUGGGUUCUGAUGAAGAUUACUUGGGAAUAUUGAGAAAUGACUUGCCAUAACAGCUACCAUCAACUCCAGUUGUUCCAGCAUGAAAGAACUUAUAAUACCACAGAUGCUUUUGCAAAGAGAAUCUUCUGGCCAAAGUUUAGGAGGAUGUAGCAAUUCAUCAGCUAUCUCCUGAAUCACUGCCCAGUUGCCAGUAGCAAGUCCUCGCUCCAAAGUAAGUCCAGCCAAUUCUGAAAUUCUAGUUGACUCAUCCAACCUUCCUGUUCACUCAGGACUUACUAAAACAUCCCAAAUGACUUAAAAUGUAGAUUCCCUCUCAUCCUGAGAUAUCAGCGCCUGGUAUAAGAUGCAAAGGGCAAAUGGGCAGAAAGCACUCCUCUUAAUCAUGUCCAAUUUCAGUUUCACAUGUGUAC